AAUUGCUUAAAUGGAAUUGGAGGAAAAGGAAACCAACAGGGAUUGGCCCUAGUAACGGCGAGUGAAGCGGCAACAGCUCAAAUUUGAAAUCUGGCUCUCGGGCCCGAGUUGUAAUUUGUAGAGGAUGCUUUUGAUGCGGUGCCUUCCGAGUUCCCUGGAACGGGACGCCAUAGAGGGUGAGAGCCCCGUCUGGUUGGAUGCCAAAUCUCUGUAAAGCUCCUUCGACGAGUCGAGUAGUUUGGGAAUGCUGCUCUAAAUGGGAGGUAUAUGUCUUCUAAAGCUAAAUACCGGCCAGAGACCGAUAGCGCACAAGUAGAGUGAUCGAAAGAUGAAAAGCACUUUGAAAAGAGAGUUAAAAAGUACGUGAAAUUGUUGAAAGGGAAGCGUUUAUGACCAGACUUGGGCUUGGUUAAUCAUCUGGGGUUCUCCCCAGUGCACUUUUCCAGUCCAGGCCAGCAUCAGUUUUCGCCGGGGGAUAAAGGCUUCGGGAAUGUGGCUCUCUCCGGGGAGUGUUAUAGCCCGUUGCGUAAUACCCUGGCGGGGACUGAGGUUCGCGCAUCUGCAAGGAUGCUGGCGUAAUGGUCAUCAACGACCCGUCUUGAAACACGGACCAA
rnacentral:rRNA from 1 species